UACGAAGGUGGCAAGCGUUACUCGGAAUUACUAGGCGUAAAGGGCAGGUAGGUGGUUUGGUAAGUCUGUUGUGAAAGCUCCCGGCUUAACUGGGAGAGGUCAACAGAAACUACCAGGCUUGAGUAUAGGAGAGGGUACUGGAAUUCCCGGUGUAGCGGUGAAAUGCGCAGAGAUCGGGAGGAACACCGAUGGCGAAAGCAGGUAGCUGGACUAUUACUGACACUCAGCUGCGAAAGCUAGGGGAGCAAACAGG
rnacentral:rRNA from 1 species